CUGUAGUGAGCAUGUGUCGGUGAGCUUGUUAGUAAUAGGCAUGUGUCAGUGAGCUUGUUAGUAAUAAGCAUGUGUGUCUCAGUGAGCUUGUUAUUAGUGAGCAUGUGUCUCAGUGAUCUUGUUAUUAGUGAGCAUAUGUGUCAGUGAGCUUGUCUGUAGUGAGCAUUGCAAAGAGUCAACUGACAGACGCUAACUUGAAAAAGCAGUUGCUAGUAGCAACAUCA